UACGUAGGUGGCAAGCGUUGUCCGGAUUUAUUGGGUUUAAAGGGUGCGUAGGUGGUUGUUUAAGUCUGUUGUGAAAGCCCCGGGCUCAACCUGGGAAUGGCAAUGGAUACUGGACAGCUAGAGUGCGGUAGAGGGUAGUGGAAUUCCCGGUGUAGCAGUGAAAUGCGUAGAGAUCGGGAGGAACACCAGUGGCGAAGGCGGCUACCUGGACCAGCACUGACACUGAAGCACGAAAGCGUGGGGAGCAAACAGG
rnacentral:rRNA from 1 species